CAACCCAAACGACGUCGUGUUGAAGCUUUUCUGUAUAAAAAAAAGUCUCCGAACUAUAAUAAGACCGACCAUUAUAGGCUCGUGCAAUGGCUUCCUCUGUCACCACGAAGUCCAUCUUGGGGGCGAUCCAUCAUCUCCACAUCUCCAAUCCUGUUACUGGUGAGUUUUUAUCUCUCCCAACACCUUCAAAGCCUGAUACAGUUCGAGGCCGUUAUGGUUUUGGGUUCAGCCCCAUCAGUGAUGUCUAUAAGCUAGUUCGGAUUGUGCCUACACAUAAACAAGUAAUGGUUUUGACUGUUGGCUCUGGGAUUUGGAGAGAUAUUGGGCACCCUCCCGACUCUUUUGAUGGAGGAACGUUGGGGAAACCUUGUGUCUACCAAAACUAUUUUGGUAGAGUGAAUGAUCAUGGGAUUUAUGUCAAUGGGUUUCUUCAUUGGAUUGGGUACAGGGACCCGUCUCGUUUGGCAUGGGCCUUCGAUGUUGAAAGUGAGCGGUUCCAAGAGUUACCACUACCACCUUGUUCCUAUGAUCCGAGAACAAUUUGUUUUAAGCUCGGAGUAUUGAAAGGUUGGCUCUCUGUCAUUAACUUGAGUGAUGUUAUCAGUGUUUGGGUGAUGAAGGAUUAUGGGUUGAAGGAGUCUUGGACUAAAGAGCACGAGUUUAAAAACCCAGUUGGUUAUUUUGGCACUUUCAUGUUGAAAGCUAUUACUGGGGAAGGGCAAGUUUUGGGGAUACAUCAGGAUAGAUUGCAGGCUUAUACUCCCACAACAACGGGCCUUGUGACGGUUGAGGUUGAUGGAUUACCUUCAUGGAUUUCGGGGGCAUGGGACCUUGUUCCAAGCUUUGUUUCACUUAAGGAUAUUGCCAGAGGGUUGCAGCUUGAAGGGAGAUGAAGCCAGAUGGGUUAUCCCAAAGGGGUGUUUUGAAUUUCUGAGCACCAAGUUUGAGGGUUUUGGAAGGGGAAAGAAAGCCAAAACAUUAUGCGGGUGCUGCUUGUCGGCAUUUUCCUGGAACAAUUUGGAUGGAGCGCAAUAAGAAUAUUUGAGGAUUAUAAGGGCGCGGGGGUAAAUAAACUCUGGGACAGAGACUUCAGGGUGUUUCCAAACUGGAACAAUCUUGACUGUGGAUGAGCGAGGCCUUUACGGGAAAACAUGCAUUGCCAUUCAAGGUAUAUAUGUUACCGGCUGGCUGAUUAAUAGUACAUUUUCAUUGCAGAUUGAUAGUGGCAUAUUGAUUCCAACUAUGAAAGUUCAAAGGACAAGAGUUGUGGCUCAGUACGAGGAGAAAAUAGAGAAUCUGUACAAGUAAACCUCUUAUCCAGAAAUUUAGAAAAGCACUUUAAAAUGCAGGAAAUUUAUAUGAAAGAAGUAUUGCAAAGCAUAGAUAGGUCGCCAGUCCAAUGCUUUUUUAGUCCCAUUUUAGGUCAGUUCCUUACUGUCUCGUCAAACAUUAUGUACUAGUUAAAGUUUUUGGAUUUAUAGUCUGUAACAGUGAGAGACAAGAAUGCUUGAAUUCUGUGCAUUUCUUACUUCAUUUCUAAUAGUUUGCAGCAGCAGUUGUGCAGCACACCCUGCAUAAGGUUGUAAU